rnacentral:lncRNA from 1 species
AUUUACAAUAAAAGCCAGUUAAUAUUUAAACUUCCUGAAGACGCCGUGGCGUCUGUGGACAGAUGUUGUCACUAGAGGUCAUCAGCGGGUCAACCAGCCGCGAGGACUUUUCCCAAAACAUUCCACUGCUACGUCACUAGCCCCGCCCCGCCUCGUGCCCCUCGUUCUAUGUCAGCUGCGUGAGGCGCGCGGCUCCUUGUAUGAAAACUGUCAGUUGGGUUUUGGCGUUAGCUCGGUUCUGUUUGGCGCCGACGUCUUGUUAAGGCGAACACCUGUUGUUUGAUAUAAACGACGGAGUCGCAGCUCUGUGAGAGUUCCCCCAGCGACUGACGCCCGUUGUGACUCUACAGCGGAUGACUGUGUUGCUGGAUGAUUUACUCACAUGGCUCCAGGAACAGUAAUGUAAUUCUGGAUCUGUCAAACACGAAUACUUCAGGCUCAGGCAGAAAGAGAUGAGCUGGGCGGAGGAAGACUGGACAGUGGGGCUGUCUGGACGGGUCCUCCAAAAAGUGAAGGAUCUCCAGGUCCAGCAGGAGCGACUGUCUAGAGAGAACAAGCAGAAACAACUCCAGUUGGAUAACCUUUAUGCCGGCCACGAAAAACAAACUGUGAAGUAUGAUGCGGUACGUGUGGAGCUCCAGUCUAUGCAGAGAGAGCUCCAGAGUGUCCGGGAUGAGGCUAAAGCAGCAGGUACUAGCUGUGAUCGCCUGACCCAGGAGCUUCAAAUCAAGCAGGCUCAAGUAUGCUCUUUGGAAGGCCAGCUCGAGUCUGCUCGAACACUCAACAGCAAACUCGCACAGGAAGUCAAAAGGCUGGAGGCAGAGUUGGAGAAGUUGUUAGCAGACACCACUGUGUAUUCCACACCCUGCUGGAAUACUCACUCACCCUGGGAUCAUAAUGGUAGCAGAAAGGAGGAGAGAGUAGGGCAGCGAGAUGAAGGACAGAGCCGCGCACUUCAUGUCCGACGGCUCCAGUUCUCAGACAUGGCUACAGCUUCAUUGCCCCAACAGCAAUACAAGAGUACAUCCCAAUCAGAGACUUCCACUCCCUUGCCUGCAUUUCCGUGGGAGCGGGACGAGUCCAGGCCAGCCGCCAGAAGACGAUCCCCAUCUUCUCCCCAGACACCCCUCACGCAUGUCGUCAGUCAAGGCCAGUCAGAGGGAGUUUGUGAGAGGGAGUCGGACCCCAGGGCAGAGACAGACAAGUCUUUAUCAGAAAUUCGGAGUCAUGUGUCUUCUCUGGAAGAGGAGUUGUCUGUGAAGGACACUAUGUUGAAGGCGACUCAGGGCGAAAUGGUGCAAUGCAAGAAGGAGCUGACUGCCAAGGAGCUCAGCCUGCAGAAAACACAAGCCCGCAUAACCCAGGAGAGUGAACGGGCAUUAGGAGCUGAGCAGCGUCUGAAGCAGGUGCAAGAAGAGCUUAAAUGUCACAGGCAAAAUGCUGAGAGCAGCCGACUACAGCAUCAGUCGCGCAUUAAGGAGCUGGAGAAACAACAUCAGAGGGAUUUGAUGGAGUUUCAGAAAGAGAGACAGUGUAUGGAAAAGCAACAUCAGCAGGAGAUGAACAAACUCAACCAAGAGCUGCAGCAAGCUAGAACACUGCACAAUGCCCUGCAGGCUCAGGCUGACAAGCUGUCUCUACAGAAGCAGAUGUUGGAGAAAGAAUUGGAUACACUGAAAGAGAAGCUGCAGUGGACGGAGAAACAGCUGCAGGAAAGCUUGAAGAAAGAAGCGCAGACUCAAGCCAAACUCAUGGAAGCGGUGCGUGAGGCAGAGGGUGUGGCCGUGAGUCUGGAGCAGAGCAAGAAGAGAGAGCGAACCCUGGAGGAGGAGGGGAAAAGACUGGCAGAAGAGCUAAAUGAUGCUAUGCAGCUUAUCAAGGAGCUGCAGGAGCAAAAACCUGCAGCACCCCUCCAACCUGUACAGUUUUGCCCUGGAGGACAGAGCAUCUCUUCCCAGCCUUCUUACUCUUAUUCUACUCAUUCUCGACCAUCAAGUCACGCCACAAGGCAAACCAGUGCCUCCCGAACUGAGUGGAAAAGGGAUGAAGGCGUGGAGGAAAGAAGGGUGGAGAUUUCAGCAUCUUACCCCACCGACAGAGAGCCUGGUGAGGGUAUCGACUCAGAACACAUCACUGUUCCUACCUCUCUAGACUCUGAGAGUUUCCAAAAGGGAAAACACCAAAAGAGAUGUAAUGAGGACGAGAACAAGCGUAGAAAUGACUGUGAAAGCUGUGGGACGGACAAGCACACAAUGUUUGACGAUGUAACGCCUACUUCCUCUGCUGCUGAUACAACAGCUAACAGCUCUAUGUCAGACCCUGCCAAGGCUUCUGAAGACUUCAAAAGGGAGAAUGCCAUGCUGCGUUCAGAACUGUGUGAUUUGAAAGAAGAACUCCAAAAACGACUCGAGGACUUGGAAGCCCAACGACGAGCCGAAGCAGAAGCCAGGACACGUCUCAAACAGCUGAGCCGCAAACGUGCUACCCAGGUAGUAGAGAAAGAGGAGCAGGAGAAGGUAUGGAGGGCACAGCUGGAGAGUGAGAGAGCUGAAACAGAAAGGCUGAAGAAAUCUAUGGCUGCUCUGCAAACUGAGAUAAAGAAAAGCAGGGAGGAUGGAGAAAAGAAGGGAAGAGAGGAGCAGGAGGAGAAAAACGAUGAACUUGAAGAAAGGAAGAGUGAAAUGAUCGAGCUUAAUAUCCAGCUGAAGACGCAGUUAGCAGAGAUGAAGGCCCAGCUGGCCAUGGAAAGAGAAGAGCGAAAGAGAGAGGAAGAAGAGCGGCUUCAAAUGACCAUCAAAGACAGAGAACAAAAGGAGGAGUUCUUCAUGAAAGUCUCUGAACUUCAAGCUGAACUUCAAGAAGUAAAGCGCAGAAGAGAUUUAUUGGAACAUGAUAAAGCCUCAGUUCCCAACAGUCCCCUUACCUACUUAACUCUUCAUGAUGAUGAGUUCAACUCCAACAUCGUUGACUGUGACAACGACAACAUGCGUCUCCUCUGUUCGUCUACAAACGAACACAACACACUUAUUUCUCAGGUAACUGCAGAAGACAUGCAGGAACACCAACUGGUGACAGAUCCUGAAGGCUCUACUCUGUCAGUUGAAGGUCAAUCAGGACAACAAGAUAUGAGAAACAACUGUCAGGAAGGGUGUUUGCUAUCUGAUCACAAAAAGGUGGAGCUGGCUCCCUUUGACUUGGCAAAAGAGGUGGAGCGUCUGGAGAAGGAGAAUGCAAAGGAGAAGGAACGAGCGAACCAGUACCAGGUCAAACUGGAGGCACUGCAGAACCAGGUGACACGUCAGACACAGCAGCUGACGAUGGCCUUUGAAAAGCAGAGCCAGCAUAUCUCAGGUCUUCUGACAGAGCUGCAUGAGAAGGAGAGUGCCCUUGUCAGCCAAGGAGAGGAACUGCAGCACCACAGACAAGCGCUGGAUGCACUCAAGGCCAAAAAAGAGCAGGAAGAAAGGGAAAAAUCAGAGGUGAUGGACAAAGAGGAUCAGGAUGAAGAACAACAGAGGGAUAAAGAGGAUUAUGAUGAUGAUGAUGAUGAUGACGAGAGGUCAUUGACAAACUCAGGGCUUCCGCCAAAUCAGGACAAGGAAUGUGCUGUCCUCUUGGCAGAUGAGGACUUAAAUAUACAAAGAAAAGCAGGUACAUUAAAGACUGUGGCCUCUGGGCCUGAAACACCAACAUCUGCUAGCUGUGAAGCGCAGUCGUUUGGGUCCGAGCACUCAGACACAACAGAUUCAGACAAAACUCUGAGUAGCAGUGACUCUGCUUGUGUUACGGGCGACAAUGAGUGGACUCAAAAUGGAGGAACAGCUGAUGUGGUUGCAGAACUGCUUGCCCUCCAACAAGAGAAUCACCUUCUGAAACAAAGAAUAGAGACAUUGACGAUUCCAGACAACAGCAAACUAGCUUUAAAUAAAAGACAAGAAAUCUUACAGGACAUUGGUCUUGAACAAGUAGAAUCAAUAGUGCAGAAUGAGAGGAUGAUGGAAGGUGAACAAAGGGAAGAUGAAAGGACACCACGAGAUGAAGAAGGACACGAGGACGAGUCUCAGCUUCAGAUCAGGCACCUGGAGCAACAGGUGGUGGCGCUGCGGGCCAAGGUUUGGGCUCUCACGGAGCAGACCCAGCAGCAGGCAGACGAGCUUGUUGUGUGGAGACUGGCCGCUCAGCCAGCUCCAACAUUAGAGACUCAGGACCAGUUCUGUGCAGUCCCACAUUCAGACCAGCAGCCCGAUGGCCAGGCUCAGCAACAGCUGCUGGGUCCUCAGGGAGACUCUGGUAAAAUGAUCGUCACCAGGGAAGAUGACUUAUUCCUCUCCUGCUCCUCCAACAAACUGCAAGGCCGCAUGUUGUUCUCCAGGUAA